GACGAACGCUGGCGGCGUGCUUAACACAUGCAAGUCGAACGAUGUGGCGAACGGGUGAGUAACGCGUAAUAACCCUGCCCUUCAGAGGGGGACAACAGUUGGAAACGACUGCUAAUACCGCAUACUGAAGGAGGGGAUUGCGUCUGAUUAGUUCGUUGGAGGGGUAACGGCCCACCAAGGAGAUGAUCAGUAGCCUGUCUGAGAGGAUGAGCAGCCGAAUUGGGACUGAGAAACGGACCAGACGCCUACGGGAGGCAGCCGUGGGGAGUCUUCCGCAAUGAACGAGAGUCUGACGGAGCAACGCCGCGUGAGUGAUGACGGCCUUCGGGUUGUAAAGCACUGUUAAUCGGGACGCGGUACCGGAAUAGAAAGCCACGGCUAACUACGUGCCAGCAGCCGCGGUAAUAC
rnacentral:rRNA from 1 species